UCCCUGGUAGCUCAGAGGUUAAAGCGUCUGCCUGCAAUGCGGGAGACCUGGGUUCAAUCCCUGGAUUGGGAA
rnacentral:tRNA from 1 species